rnacentral:rRNA from 1 species
UACGUAGGGGGCUAGCGUUAUCCGGAUUUAUUGGGCGUAAAGAGCGUGUAGGCGGCCAGAUAGGUCUGCUGUGAAAACUCGAGGCUCAACCUCGAGAUGUCGGCGGAAACCAUUUGGCUAGAGUCCGGAAGAGGAAAGUGGAAUUCCUGGUGUAGCGGUGAAAUGCGCAGAUAUCAGGAAGAACACCCGUGGCGAAGGCGGCUUUCUGGGACGGUACUGACGCUGAGACGCGAAAGCGUGGGGAGCGAACAGG